rnacentral:lncRNA from 1 species
CUGCCUGACACGGGACUUGGCCUUUGGCAGAGGAACUAGUCACUUCCACCCCUUGUCCAGCAGAGAAGCAGAGGAAUAAAUACAUCAACCUCUUCUCCUCCCACCCCACUCCACUCAAACUCCUAUCGGUGCCUUCCACUGGCACCAGCCGGAAUGCAAGGGAGCCUGUUGAUGCAGCCCUUCCAGGCUCCCCGUGAAGACUGUCACCACCAGAGGUCCUGCUACGUCUCCAGCAACUUACCUUUGAUGUGGCUUUAAGAGAGGUGCCUUCUCUAGUUAACUACCAUUUGCAACACUGCAGGGAAGUCCCCCAAGUGUAGGCCUGUCUGCUCUACAGUGAACCUCUGAGAGCUGAGUUGCUCCGGGCCACCUGCCGAAUCUUCAUAUGGCACCCCUUCAACCUUGGGCGAUGGUGAAAUCACCGACUCUCAGCCUACUACACGAAGAACUUCAUUUUGGAUAAAACGCCCGUAUCCUGGCUGCUUCAUCCUGCAGGCGGCAGGAUUUGGUUCCCUGUGGUUCCAGAUGGUGCCGGAUUUCCCCAUGUUGAGAGCAUAGCUCUCAGUUUGAUGUGGCAGUGUUUGCUGUGGUUAUGUCUUUCAACACACUUCCUGCUUUUCUUACAAAACAGAGACUGCUCAUCCCUCUCUUGGAGGCCACAGCCCAAACGCUUACAGGUUUAUUAGAGGGCCAACUUGAGCAGGCCUUGGGCACGUGUUCGGCCCCUCAGUGUGUGGCCUUUUUCUCUGCGAACAUCAGGGUUAAUCUAUUGUGGACUUUACUUUCUGUUGGAGUGAAUGAUUGCAAUUCUGUGAAGGGAACAUGAGCUACCUUGGUUGAUAUUGCUAGGUAGCACACUACACCUGUGUCUUCAUUCA